AGAUUCCUGCUGUCCGCACCCACUGUCCAGCGAACCCACAGGCAGGGGAUCAGGCUCGGAACAAUCCGGGGGGGAAGAAGGCCUGUGGAACCUCUUGAGUGCGAUGUCACGUGAAACGGCUUCAGAGGUGCAUAGCAAGAGGGAGGCAAGCGCCAGAGAAAUACGACUAUUUUGCACGUUGACGUAAUUUA
rnacentral:rRNA from 14 species